rnacentral:rRNA from 1 species
UGGGUUACAAUAAAUUUAUUUAAGCGGAUAGAAGCUUGAAAUUACUCUUGAAGGUGGAUUUGAAAGUAAUUUUAAAUAUAUAUUUAAAAUGAUUUUAGCUCUAAAAUAUGCACAUAUCGCCCGUCGCUUUCAUAUAAGGUGAAAUAAGUCGUAACAAAGUAGAUGUACUGGAAAGUGUCUCUAGAAAGA